UACAGAGAGUGCGAACGUUGUUCGGAAUCACUGGGCUUAAAGCGCACGUAGGCGGCAUCGUAAGUGUCGGGUGAAAUCCCACGGCUCACCCGUGGAACUGCCCGGCAGACUGCGAUGCUCGAGUGUGGGAGAGGGAUGCGGAAUUCCAGGUGUAGCGGUGAAAUGCGUAGAUAUCUGGAGGAACACCGGUGGCGAAGGCGGCAUCCUGGACCGACACUGACGCUGAGGCGCGAAAGCUAGGGUAGCAAACGGG
rnacentral:rRNA from 1 species